rfam:Brassica napus, WGS project CCCW01000000 data, contig: 7141
AGAAUAUAAGAACCCGUCUCUUAACUUUUAACUAAAAAACCUAAAAACUGGCUCUUAAAUAAGAGUUUUAAGAGACGGUUCUUAGCUUUUUUAGUUAAAAAUUAAAAGACAGGUUCUUAUAUCUG